AUUGAACGCUGGCGGCAUGCCUUACACAUGCAAGUCGAACGGCAGCACGGGUGCUUGCACCUGGUGGCGAGUGGCGAACGGGUGAGUAAUACAUCGGAACAUGUCCUGUAGUGGGGGAUAGCCCGGCGAAAGCCGGAUUAAUACCGCAUACGAUCUACGGAUGAAAGCGGGGGACCUUCGGGCCUCGCGCUAUAGGGUUGGCCGAUGGCUGAUUAGCUAGUUGGUGGGGUAAAGGCCUACCAAGGCGACGAUCAGUAGCUGGUCUGAGAGGACGACCAGCCACACUGGGACUGAGACACGGCACAGACUCCUACGGGAGGCAGCAGUGGGGAAUUGUGGACAAUGGGCGAAAGCCUGAUCCAGCAAUGCCGCGUGUGUGAAGAAGGCCUUCGGGUUGUAAAGCACUUUUGUCCGGAAAGAAAUCCUUGGCCCUAAUACGGUCGGGGGAUGACGGUACCGGAAGAAUAAGCACCGGCUAACUACGUG
rnacentral:rRNA from 1 species